GGGACGCGGCCCGGCCCCGGGGCAGCCGGAGCGCGGAGCUCACAUGAUGCAGCGAGGGGCCGGGCCGAGCCGGGCCGGGCCGGCAGCGCCCCCCUCCUGCCUGCCCCGCGGAGCCGGCUGUGCUGUGCACCAUGCAGCCCAUGCCCCCGACGGAGCUGUACCCCUGGGAGCGCAUCACGGUGCUGAGCUCCUGCGCGCUGUCCUUCCUGGGCUCCAGCCUGCUGGUGUGCACCCAUGCCCUGUGGCCCGAGCUGCGCACGCGGCCCCGCCAGCUCCUGCUCUACCUGUCCCUGGCAGACCUGCUGUCGGCCGCCUCCUACUUCUACGGGGUGCUCCAGGACUUCGGCACCACGUCGUGGGACUGCGUGCUGCAGGGCGCCCUGUCCACCUUCUCCAACACCAGCUCCUUCUUCUGGACCAUGGCCAUCGCCAUCUACCUGUACAUCACCAUCGUCAGGGGCGCGCCCACGGGCACCGGCCUGCUCUGCUUCUUCCACGCGGUGAGACUAGGGAUGUGCUUUACGUGCUGGCUGGACUUGGUGAAUCAUCGUUCAGUAGUCUCUAAGGAAAAGUGGAAGCAUCAGGACAUGGUCACUGCUCCAUCACUGCUCUGUGACACAGGGUGCAGCAUGGUUUCCUGGCAUUCAGCACUGAAGGGCUGGGGAAUCCCACUUUGCAUCACAGUGGCUGCCGUCGCCUUGAAAAAGAUUGGUUAUGAUGCAUCAAAUGUGUCUGUGGGAUGGUGCUGGAUCAACCUGGAAGCAGAGGAUCGGGUCCUUUGGAUGCUGUUGGCAGGGAAGAUCUGGGAGAUUCUGGCCUACCUCAUCUUGCCACUUCUCUACAUCCUCAUCAAGAAACACAUCAACAGAGCGCAUGCGGCACUAUCUGAAUAUCGUCCCAUCCUAGCGAGAACACCUGCCUUUCAGCCCAGGACAUCCAUUGCAGAUAAGAAGCUGAUCCUUAUCCCUAUCAUCUUCAUCUUCCUCCGCAUCUGGAGUACCGUGCGGUUCAUCCUGACCCUCUGCGGCUCCCCGGCCGUGCAGAAUUCCCUCCUGGUGGUCCUGCAUGGAAUUGGGAACACGUUCCAGGGAGGUGCCAACUGCAUCAUGUUCGUGCUCUGCACCCGGGUGGUACGGACGCGGCUGCUCUCCUACCUCUGCUGCUGUCGCUACGAUGCCUCUAAUCAGUCUCCGCAGAACUCAGACGGGCAUUACCAGCAGACCGAACCCCACAAGAGCAGAGAAGUGCAAGAGACCGACCGGAAGAAGGCCAUGUUCUCCAGUACCUGAGCCAUGGAUCUCCAAACCGCAAUGGUAGCGUCUGUCUUUCUUGGUAAACAUCUAAUUGUAUUUGACUUGCCACCACGUGCCUAUAGAGGGAGCUAAAGACUGGAAGAAAAGGAACAUCAAACGCAGGCCACGUCGCAGGACAAGCGCCCGGCUGGAAGUCCUAUCCCAGCUGAGGCUGCCUUGGCUCCUUUCUCAGGAUCUCCUGGAAGAUGUUACUACAUCACGCUCCAACUUCAUCCGUCCUUCUUGUCUCAUAGAAACUUAGACGUUAUUCUUGGGGUGUGAUUUCCCUUUUUUAGGAGGUGGAUUGCUCACUGUGUAUCCAGGGAGGAGGAAAACCACGAUGAUCUGAAAAUGCUGAAGCUUCUGAGUGGACCUGUCUUGGGCAUGUGAUAGAUUUAACUCCUGGUGCACAAGGUCUUGAAAGGCACCUUGUCCAGGCCCUGGUCCUCCUCCCUGGGUGGAUGGGGACAGUGACUUAACAAUGUCUUCUUUUUUAAAUUCCUUGGGUGUUUUCCUUUGGUGUUUUGUCCCUCCAGCAGGGCAGGCAGCAACUCAUCUGCCCUCCUAGAUUUGGGGUGUGAUGAGUUUGCAUUGCCUCUUGGGGAAAUUCACGGCUGUGUGGGCAGUUUGUUGUUGAGGGUAGCUAACUUGGGAUGAUUACCGAACAUGCUCCAUCCAAUGGGAACAGCCUGUGAAUGGACAUAUAGAUGGGUUGUGUUGUGUAUCCUCCGAAUCCAGGGUUUACUGCUUCCAAAGUAUAAUCUGUUUUUUUUUGUUUAAUGCUUCCUUUUCCCUAACUGGCAUUUUAAAAUCACAGCUUGAGUUUUUGGAGACACUAUCCUUUUAAGAACGUGUCCUGUUUACAGCUCCUCUUUCUAUGCACUUUCUAAACCUUUGUCAUUUUAACAAAAUCUUCUCCUUUCUAGCAUUUUUUGUACACAGAUGUUGUCAUUCACUGUUGUAACAACAGACAAAUGAGCCUAUCGACCUCUCUCUGCAACUAAGGGUGGGGUGGAGCAGAGAGACAGAAACUGUGCAACAGUGUUUUUACAGAUGACUGGGGUGUCUGUAAUUUAACAAAUGACUGACAUUUUAAGGCAUGUACAGGAAGACGAGUCACCCAUGCUGUCUGUAUGUGGGUUGCUCUUCCCUAUUUUUCUACGGGACUAUAAAGCUCUCAUCAGUGUUGUGAGAGAA